rnacentral:rRNA from 1 species
UCAGCCGGAACGAAACGGUCACGGCUAAUACCUGUGACUACUGACGGUACCGGAAGAAGAAGCACCGGCUAACUACGUGCCAGCAGCCGCGGUAAUACGUAGGGUGCAAGCGUUAAUCGGAAUUACUGGGCGUAAAGCGUGCGCAGGCGGUUUUGUAAGUCAGAUGUGAAAUC